rnacentral:rRNA from 1 species
UCUUAAAUCAUUGAAUCAAUGGUUCUUGAGAUAACGUAAGGGAUAAAAAUGAUAGUACCUUACUAUAAGUGUUGUCCAACAAUACUGGUGCCAGAAGACUCGGUAACGCCAGAAACGCAAACGUUAGUCGUCCUAAUCAGGCGUAAAGGGUAAGUAGGCUGCUUUGAAAGUUAUUACUUAGAAAGCUCUUUAAAAAUUUUUUAAAGGUAAUUAAUAAUGAAUUAAAGCUAGAAUCAAAUAGGGGAUAAGCCAAAUAAUAUUUAGUGUAAGGCUAAUAUCUUUAGAUACUAAAUGGAAUACUAAGGUGAAAACUUUUAUCUACUAAUGAUUGACGCUGAGGAACGAAGGUGAGAAUAGAAAACAGGAUUAGAGACCCAGGUAUCUCUCACUGUCAACGAUGAAUGGUAGUUGUUAGUUAAACUUAACUAGUAACGAUGUUAACGCGUUAACCAUUCCGCCUUGCGAGUAC